rnacentral:rRNA from 1 species
GGCACUGCCCGGUAGCUAAAUGCGGAAGAGAUAANGUGCUGAAAGCAUCUAAGCACGAAACUUGCCCCGAGAUGAGUUCUCCCUGAGACUUUAAGUCUCCUGAAGGAACGUUAAAGACGAUGACGUUGAUAGGCCGGGUGUGUAAGCGCAGCGAUGCGUUGAGCUAACCGGUACUAAUGAACCGUGAGGCUUAACCUUACAACGCCGAAG